rfam:Hordeum vulgare subsp. vulgare, WGS project CAJW01000000 data, contig: morex_contig_41464
UUAAUACCCCCUCUGUCCCAAAAUUCUUGUCUUAGCUUUGUCUAGAAAUGAAUGUAUCUAAAUACUAAAACUUGACUAGAUACAUCCAUAUCUAAACAAAUGUAAGACAAGAAUUUUAGGACGGAGGGAGUAGCAU